rnacentral:rRNA from 1 species
GACGAACGCUGGCGGCGUGCCUAAUACAUGCAAGUCGAGCGCAGGAAACUGACGGAACUCUUCGGAGGGAAGGCAGUGGAAUGAGCGGCGGACGGGUGAGUAACACGUAAGGAACCUACCUCAAGGAUUGGGAUAACUCCGAGAAAUCGGAGCUAAUACCGGAUAGUUCAACGGACCGCAUGGUCCGUUGAUGAAAGGCGCUCCGGCGUCACCUUGAGAUGGCCUUGCGGUGCAUUAGCUAGUUGGUGGGGUAACGGCUCACCAAGGCGACGAUGCAUAGCCGACCUGAGAGGGUGAUCGGCCACACUGGGACUGAGACACGGUCCAGACUCCUACGGGAGGCAGCAGUAGGGAAUCUUCCACAAUGGACGAAAGUCUGAUGGAGCAACGCCGCGUGAGUGAUGAAGGUUUUCGGAUCGUAAAACUCUGUUGUAAGGGAAGAACACGUACGAGAGGAAAUGCUCGUACCUUGACGGUACCUUACGAGAAAGCCACGGCUAACUACGUGCCAGCCGCCGCGGUAA